rnacentral:rRNA from 1 species
UACGUAGGGUGCAAGCGUUGUCCGGAAUUAUUGGGCGUAAAGAGCUCGUAGGCGGUCUGUUGCGUCUGCUGUGAAAACCCGGGGCUUAACCCCUGACUUGCAGUGGAUACGGACAGACUAGAGGUAGGUAGGGGAGAAUGGAAUUCCCGGUGUAGCGGUGAAAUGCGCAGAUAUCGGGAGGAACACCGGUGGCGAAGGCGGUUCUCUGGGCCUUACCUGACGCUGAGGAGCGAAAGCGUGGGGAGCGAACAGG